GACGAACGCUGGCGGCGUGCCUAAUACAUGCAAGUAGAACGCUGAAGGAGGAGCUUGCUUCUCUGGAUGAGUUGCGAACGGGUGAGUAACGCGUAUGUAACCUGCCUGGUAGCGGGGGAUAACUAUUGGAAACGAUAGCUAAUACCGCAUAAGAGUAGAUGUCGCAUGACAUUUGCUUAAAAGGUGCAAUUGCAUCACUACCAGAUGGACCUGCGUUGUAUUAGCUAGUUGGUGAGGUAACGGCUCAACAAGGCAACGAUACAUAGCCGACCUGAUAGGGUGAUCGGCCACACUGGGAAUGGGACACGGCCCCGACUCCCACGGGAGGCAGCAGUAGGGAAUCUUCGGCAAUGGACGGAAGUCUGACCGAGCAACGCCGCGUGAGUGAAGAAGGGUUUCGGAUCGUAAAGAUCUGUUGUAAGAGAAGAAAGAGAGUGAGAGUGGAAAGUUCACACUGUGACGGUAUCUUAUCAGAAAGGGACGGCUAACUACGUG
rnacentral:rRNA from 1 species